UAGACAGGUUGUAUGUAUCUGAUCACUACUGUAGUAGGGUUGGAAGGUUAGACAGGUUGUAUGUAUCUGAUCACUACUGUAAUAGGGUUGGAAGGUUAGACAGGUUGUAUGUAUCUGAUCACUACUGUAGUAGGGUUGGAAGGUUAGACAGGUUGUAUGUAUCUGAUCUCUACUGUACUAGGGUUGGAAGGUUAGACAGGUUGUAUGUAUCUGAUCACUACUGUAGUAGGGUUGGAAGGUUAGACAGGUGGUAUGUAUCUGAUCUCUACUGUAGUAGGGUUGGAAGGUUAGACAGGUUGUAUGUAUCUGAUCUCUACUGUAGUAGGGUUGGAAGGUUAGACAGGUUGUAUGUAUCUGAUCUCUACUGUAGUAGGG
rnacentral:lncRNA from 1 species